AAAGUACAUGCUACCGGCGAAAGCUCUGUGCUACGGGUGGAGUGGCUACCCCUACUGAGGCCUCGUCUGGUCACGCUGCCACCCUCACUCCAGGUUUUGUGUUCGUCCAAUCUCGCACAAUCUAUUUAAUUUCUGGUCAAAUUUCAAUCAUUUCUGUGUUCCUUCUGCUCAUUAGGGCAUCUCCAGCCGUUCGGCCCCCCAGGGCGUCCAAAUAGAGCGGCCUAGAAGCGUGCCGGCGCUAGUUCGGCCCCUGGGGGCGACCUAGCUCCCAGUCACGCCCCGAAGCACCGGCCCCAAGAUGCGGAAAAUUUAAACUUGGUCGUUCCCGCUCUCAAAACACGCCACAAAUCCGGCGAUCGGACGUAGUCUGGCGUUACAAAAAACAGAGCGCCGCACGCCGCAAGUUCGCGUGCGCAAUGAUUCACUCGGCGGGGUCGGCUCCAGGCGUUGGCGGAGUCGGCGUGCGCGGGCUCGACGGUGUUGGAGCUGCUUCGGUGCUGGGCUGUGUCGACGCGGCUUCGGCACUGCUGGGCGGCGAUGUAGAGGUGUCGUUCGGGCUUGGCGUCCGUGUGGUCGUGGGCGCGGGAGC
rnacentral:lncRNA from 1 species